ensembl:lncRNA
GAACUAUUACGUCGCACCGGCCAUGCCCACUUGACCCUAUCAAGCUCGACAAAGAGAUUGGAGUGCAGAGCUGAUAGCCAGACCCGCAGAGAGCCUGGGGCUCGAAGUAGCUCUACGGUAUUUCUCUCACACGCGUUAGAUACAAUUCCCUCCCUUCUGCUUCAUAGUUACCGUACGAAAAUGAACCAACGAAGACGGAGGACUACUCUAUGAUGUCUUUUGCAAAUUUGAGGAUUACCGCGUCGCAUCAGUUGGUCCUGCGGGCCUCUGAUGCGGCGGCGGCCUUCACCGCCGCCAUGGGGCCACGCGGGACCCAGGCUCCCGCCAGGGCCAAGAAGCCGGGGGAGGUGGAGAAGGAGGCCCGUGCCCGCGUCGUCUCCGAGGGUGGUGACCCUGGGAACCCCAUGCUGGUGCUGGGCUGCCACAGCAUCCAGCUGGGGAAGUACCAGGGUCAGACCUUCCGAUGGCUCCUGGAGAACGACGCGGGCUACGCCUGUCACCUGGUCGACAGUCACCAGCGGGAGCGGGAGACUAGUGCCUCGGACAGCCCGCUCAUGGCCAACAAGGACAGCCUCGCCCGCUACUCCUGCGCCCACCCCGCUUUUGCGGAGCACCUCAAGUUCCGCCGGGCGCAGGAGGAGGCCCGGGCUCGCGCCACUCUGCCCGGGCGGGGGGGCGAGGCGCUUGUUGGCUUCGGGCUGUUCAAGGAGGACACCCUGAAGGACCUGUACGAAUCCAAGGACAAGGACCGUCAGGAGUAAGUCAUAUUGUGGUGAAGGGCAGUGGAGACGGUGCUGUGACAUGUUUAUAUUUUUUGAUUUUCGAUCAUUGUCUUGCAGAUACGUCAAGUGGCUACGACGGAAGACACCGCAGCCUGGGAGCUCCAUGGACGCCGCCAUUCAGUACUUCUUGGGCCGAGACAAGGAGCGGUCGGCGGAGGCGGCUGCUACACCCCCUCCGCCCGCCAGCAGCAGCACCAGCAGCGGCCCCAGCACCACCACCAGCCAGGCCGCUGCUUCAACCGUGCUGCCGCCCCGCAAGCCGACCGCUCCCAAUUUCUCGGCCCUUGUGCGCGGGCGUCCGAUGGGCCCCAGGGAGCUGCAGGCCCAGAUCAGGAGACUGAUGAGCCCACCAGCACGGCCUGCAGCUCCAGGUCGGUAGCUCUUUCUUUCUGUUACACACAACAGAGGUUGAGUGUAUACGAUUUACUGACCGUUGCCCCCCCCCCCCAUAGCGGUGUCUUCCGUCAGAGACCAGCGCCCCUCGGUUCCGCCGCCCCCCACCACAGAGGUGACGGACGAGGAGCUGGUCCGGAUGGUCACUGAUGUAGAAAUGGGUAACUGGCACCACACCGGACGUGUCGCACUGUAACAUUGGCCUUGGAUAUCUAUUCUUGAGUCAGUAUGUUUGUAUUAACUGUAACUUUUUAAUUUGCUGGUCGCUAAAGCUGAUGCCUGAAGGAUAAAGGUAGGUUUAUCAGGUGAUGUAGCCGUCUUUGUAGGUGGUAGACGCGCCGUCCUCUCUCACGUGGUGGUAAUGUGGAUUUGAUUAAACUCCCAGUCUAGCAAACCUCGCCUUGUAACUAACAGUCGCCUUGUAGCACUAAAC